rnacentral:rRNA from 1 species
ACGCUCGACACCUACGGGGGGCAGCAGUGGGGAAUAUUGCACAAUGGGGGAAACCCUGAUGCAGCGACGCCGCGUGAGCGAAGAAGUAUUUCGGUAUGUAAAGCUCUAUCAGCAGGGAAGAAACUGACGGUACCUGACUAAGAAGCACCGGCUAAAUACGUGCCAGCACGCCGGACGGUUAAUCGUGAGGCGGGCGUGGACGAAGGC